AGCAACAGAAACACACAGCCUCUCCGUCCCCCCUUCCCCACGUUCCAGCCUCUUCCCGGAUCUGCGCAGGGCAGGCAGGGAGCCUGCCCUGCUCCCGGUGCUCGUCCGGCCGCUCUGCUUAACUGUCCAGUGAGAUCCAACAGUCUGCCUUUGUGACCCUGGAGCCGGCGUGGUUUGGGAACACUGAAGAAGCCACAGGCAGCCAUCCUGGACUGGAAUCACUGAAAAGACGCCCCAGGAGAUCCCAGGGCAUAAAAGAACUGCCCUCCCAAGAGAGGAAGCAAGUUGGAGAUUGCACAGCGCCUUCUCUGAACGUUGUACAGAAACGUGGCCAGUCUGGACGUAUGUGUAUCAUCAGAGAAAACGGAUGCCAGCUGAACAGCAUUCAAUGUACCAUGCAUUUACUGGUACAAUAGGAAUUAUUUUUGUGUUCUAUGUCCUGUCUUGUAGUGUUUGUCUUGUGGCCAGAAUUGUUGUGUUUAAUAUUUUCAUAAGACAGUCUAGUUCAAAAUUAAAUAGAAGGGUUAAAUCAAAAAGCAGAUACUUGUUUUAUUCAACUUGGAAUACAAAGUGUUUGGAUAAAUCAGGAAAAUGUGAUAUACUAAAGUCUAAUACAUUUGCUUAAGUAAGAAAAAGAGAUUUCAUUGGCCAGAUCUUUUAAUUGAAAAAUUGUUGUUAAAAUUUGCAUACCAACAGACUUUGGAAGCAAGGACAUGGAAGGCUAACCCACUCCCCCUAUUGCACAUGGGAUCCUUCUGGCUACCUCAGAUUUCUAGCCAGAGGGCUGGGGAGGAAGGAAAGCUAUUGGACACCAGAGGUUGUACCGAGUGGACUUCUCAAAAGUGGGUGUGCUCGUCCUGGCUUGUUGCUCCAUAGCUCUGUAAUAAAGUUAUUUUACUGGAAGAGUGUAUGUGGCAUACAUUGAAUAAUAAGACUAAUGUACUGUAUAAUGGCAAUGUGUAUGUGUUCAUUGUUGGGAAAAGGUGUACGAGUGAAGAGUGGAAGUUUCCUUUGUAGGUUAAAAGAAGCCAAGAAGGGGAGAAGGAAAAAGAACAGAACGAGUUAACUGAGAAAAAAAUAUAUAGCUAGCAAGCUCAGUCCAAAGAUAAGAUGCUGGCCCCAUCCAAGGACAUUGUUCACAUAGACUAAGACUUGGCUGACAACCAAGAAAAGUGGGGCCUGAAUGUGCCCAAGCAACUAUGAGAUCUGCAAAACACUGCCAGGCAGUAAUGAAAUGUGUUAGGUUUCUUUUCUCACAGAUAAAAGAAGUGCUAACGAAACACCGUAGCAGCCCUAGCCAUUCAUUGAAACAAGGAGACUGAGUCUACGUAAAGUCCAUCAACGAAAGACUGCUUUGGCUCCACACUGGAAAGGCCCUUUCCAAGUCCUGUUAACCACCAACACUGCUGUGAAGGCCAAGGACUACCUGCCUGGACUAGGGGCGGCUCUAGGGACCAGCAAAGCAAGCACCUGCUUGGAGCAGCCCAUUUGCAGGGGUGGCUGGGAUCCAGCCUGGGAGCUGAGAACCAACAGGGGGCCCUGGGAGCUGUAGUUCCUUGGUUAACUCCCUGCCUAUAGAGCCAGCCCUGGAGCAGGGAAAGAACUACAUUUCCCAGCAUUCCCUUGGCCACUACCAACAGGAAAGAGGGGGAGGGAGGGAGGAAGCUGAGACCUCAUGCUGCAGCCUGCUAUGAAUGGAGAGCUGCACGCUCUGCUGUGCCUUCUGGACAGCAGGAAAAAGGAAAAAAAAAGACAAGGUGAAGUGCUAGUAACCUCUCCCUUGUCCACUGACAGACCUACUGUGCCUCUGGAUUUUUCUAGAAGAAGCAAAACCAUUACAGGGUGAUGUGCUAGUAACCUCUCCCCUGUAUGAUGCUGAAUCACACUGUUUCAGGAAAAGAGAAGAAGGAACACUUGCUUCAUUGAAACCACAAAGUCCAGGGAUUCCUGACUACAACAGACAUUAAGAACUGACCCUGGUGAAGAAAGAAAGAAUUAUAGACUGUCAGGAAGAAACUUGUGGGACCCAUGCGUGGGAACGUGGUAUUGAUUGGAUUUUGAGGUUUAUUCUACAGGCUGCGCCCUGUGUUUUGGAUAAGUCCUUCAGCAUGUAUUGCCCUCCCUAAUUGGAUUUUAAAUUAUAAGUACCAAAGGCACCUUGUUGCCAUUGCCCCUGCCACCUCCUCCAUUACACUAUUACCCCUGUAACACAUCCAAAUACAGACAAUGCCAUAUAUUUGAUAAAACCAGUGGCCAAGGCCUUCACACUUUAGUGAUUUAUUUAAAUAUUGUUUGAAAAAAAAUAAUUUUUAAGGUUCAGGAUAUCCCAUAUAAGCAAACAAUUGAAUGGAAAAGAAUGGAUCAGUGGAGAUAAAAGUAUAUGAUAUCACUACAAGUGAAACCCAAGAAUCUGUAAUUGCAAUUGAUGGGUUCUAUAGUGAAGUAGAUAUGAUGGCUGUUCCUGGAAUUUGCACUGUGUUAAAUGAGAGAGGCCCUUAUUGUUAUUUGGUCACCCAAUUAGUGAACAAUUAAACGAAUACCCAAA